GUGGCGCACGGGUGCGUAACGCGUGGGAAUCUGCCCUUGGGUUCGGAAUAACGGAGAGAAAUUUCCGCUAAUACCGAAUGAUGACGUAAGUCCAAAGAUUUAUCGCCCAAGGAUGAGCCCGCGUAGGAUUAGCUAGUCGGUGAGGUAAAGGCUCACCAAGGCGACGAUCCUUAGCUGGUCUGAGAGGAUGAUCAGCCACACUGGGACUGAGACACGGCCCAGACUCCUACGGGAGGCAGCAGUGGGGAAUAUUGGACAAUGGGCGAAAGCCUGAUCCAGCAAUGCCGCGUGAGUGAUGAAGGCCUUAGGGUUGUAAAGCUCUUUUACCCGGGAUGAUAAUGACAGUACCGGGAGAAUAAGCUCCGGCUAACUCCGUGCCAGCAGCCGCGGUAAUACGGAGGGAGCUAGCGUUGUUCGGAAUUACUGGGCGUAAAGCGCACGUAGGCGGCUUUGCAAGUUAGAGGUGAAAGCCUGGGGCUCAACCCCAGAAUUGCCUUUAAGACUGCAUCGCUAGAAUCCAGAAGAGGUGAGUGGAAUUCCGAGUGUAGAGGUGAAAUUCGUAGAUAUUCGGAAGAACACCAGUGGCGAAGGCGGCUCACUGGUCUGGUAUUGACGCUGAGGUGCGAAAGC
rnacentral:rRNA from 1 species